CCUACGGGGGGCAGCAGUGGGGAAUAUUGCACAAUGGGGGAAACCCUGAUGCAGCGACGCCGCGUGAGUGAAGAAGUAUUUCGGUAUGUAAAGCUCUAUCAGCAGGGAAGAAAAUGACGGUACCUGACUAAGAAGCCCCGGCUAACUACGUGCCAGCAGCCGCGGUAAUACGUAGGGGGCGAGCGUUAUCCGGAAUCACUGGGUGUAAAGGGAGCGUAGACGGCGAGGUAAGCCUGAAGUGGAAGCCCGCGGCCCAACCGCGGAACUGCUUUGGGAACUGUUUUGCUGGAGUAUGGGAGGGGUAAGCGGAAUUCCUGGUGUAGCGGUGAAAUGCGUAGAUAUCAGGAGGAACACCGGUGGCGAAGGCGGCUUACUGGACCAUAACUGACGUUGAGGCACGAAAGCGUGGGGAGCAAACAGGAUUAGAUACCCUUGUAGUC
rnacentral:rRNA from 1 species